rnacentral:misc_RNA from 2 species
AACGCACAUUGCGCCCGCCAGUAUUCUGGCGGGCAUGCCUGUUCGAGCGUCAUUUCAACCCUCAAGCCCAGCUUGGUGUUGGGGAUCGGCACAGGCGCCCUCGGGCGCCCGCCGUCCCCUAAAUCUAGUGGCGGUCCCGCUGCAGCCUCCUCUGCGUAGUAGUUUUCUCCUCGCAAGGGCAGCUCGGUGGCGACCUCGCCGUAAAACCCCCAACUUCUGAAAGGUUGACCUCGAAUCAGGUAGGAAUACCCGCUGAACUUAA